ensembl:lncRNA
ACUAGGAGACAUAAAAUUACCUUUGCUACCCUUCAUCUCUUAUAGCAAAUGUAAAAGGUUAUUAAAAUAUUUUCUUCCUUGAGGAGAAAAAUUUUGUUUCCCAUAGAUCCACAUUAUCUCUUAGCUCAGGAAUAAGCAUUGGUAUAUUGACUUGAGCCAUGGAAACAUAGGCAAGUUUGAAUGAAAGGGGGAGUCCUCUGAUAUUCCAUCACUGCAAUUAGAUGUGGUAUGUUGGAAUAUCAAGAUACCAUAUGCAUAUAUAACAAAUUAGCUUCAUUUCUGCAGUGUGUGCUUUUGCUUGACCAUCACUUGGCAAGUUGACUUAUGAAUGCCACUCUUCACCUUUGUGAGCUUGGUCUAACAUGAGCCUCAUCUCUCUAGAUCUUCUGAGGCAGUUACUCUAAAAGGUUCAAAUAAAAAUCAGGUAGACAUCUCAAUUUUCUAAUUAUUUUUGCUUCAAUUUGUUAAUUAAGAAGAAUAACUCUAGGGGCUGGCCCAGUGGCAUAGUGGUUAAGUUCUCAUGAUCUGCUUUAGCAGCCCAGGGUUCGUGGGUUCGGAUCCUGAGUGUAGACCUUACACACUGCUUGUCCAGCUACUCUGAGGUGGCAUCCCACAUACAAAAAUAGAGGAAGAUUGGCAACAGAUGUUAGCUCAGGGCCAAUCAUCCUCACCAAAAAGAAGAAGCAGAAGAAGAAGAAGCAGAAGAAGAAGAAGAAGGAGAAGACGAAGAACCAUAAGAAUAGCUGGUGUCUUAGUAAACAUCAGGCACAAUGCUAGAUCUUUAAACACAUUGUCAUGUUUAAUCCUUACAACAAGUUCAUAAGGUAAGCAUUAUUCUGUUUUAUGGACAUGAAAACCAUGUCUCACAGAGGUUGGGUAAGCUACUUAGGUUACCCAUUCAUCGGGCAGCAGAGGUAGAAUUCAAAUUCGUCUCUGAAUGACCCUAUCAUAUAUUUGUAUGGAGCUCUGAGGGUAUUUUCUGGAUGCAUAUACGUAGGUUUUCUUAGGCUAAGUUUAUAUGUGACUAUGAACAGACAACCUUUAGAGGAAUUGAGGUUGAGUUUUUGGGAGUCAUUUUCUUUAAUUAAUUGUUUUAGUAUUUUUACAUUCUGGUUUGAUUGUUAAAAGGCUGCAUAAACUCUUUGACACCAUUUUCCAGGCUGAUUUUUGAUGAAGAGAUUCAGUCUAUUUCUGUAUUGAUUGAACUGCUCAUUUUGACAGCUUCCAGUGGUCACAUUAGAUGUGGAUAGCUUUAAGACAGAGAAGAAAACUUCAGGAGGGAGAGAAAGAAAUCAUUGACCUCACAUGAAGAGAAAUGUAUACAUGUAUAUUUGUUGAAAAAGAUUAACAUUCCAUGCUACGUUUACCACCAGAGGGAGUCAUAUGAAUACCAUAAUAUAUUGACAAAGGAAAAGGAAAAAUCAUUAAAUAUUUCCUUCCAGUUCCACUGAUAUUUUAACCAGCAUUCAGAAUUUGGUAGAACUGGUGUGACUAUGGGAAAGGACUUAAACAUCUCACUGUACGGUUGAAAACAGAAGAAACGUCUGCUUAAAUUAGUCAUGUAGGGUGAAAGAUAGACAUCAAAACAAACUAAUAGGCACAUUCCAGGUUUUAGCAACAUGAUUGUAAUGUUAUGCUGAAACUAAAAAAUCAAGCUGUGAUCUCUUUUGUUCCAAAAAUCAUUCUCUGCUAUUACCAAAAUACUGUUCUAAAAAAAAUUCCUG